rnacentral:rRNA from 1 species
UAUCUCUGUAGAGUCUGCAUAUCAAUAAGCGGAGGAAAAGAAACUAACUAGGAUUCCCUUAGUAACGGCGAGUGAAGCGGGAAGAGCUCAAAUUUGAAAUCUUCAAGGUUCUACCUUGACGAAUUGUAGUUUAAAGAAGUGCUUUUCUGUUGAGAGUUUGGUAAAAGUUCUUUGGAAUAGGACAUCAUAGAGGGUGAGAAUCCCGUAUUUGACAUUAUUCAUUCUAGCGUUGUGAUACACUUUCAAAGAGUCGGAUUGUUUGGGAAUGCAGUCCAAAAUGGGUGGUAAAUUUCAUCUAAAGCUAAAUAUUGGCGAGAGACCGAUAGCGAACAAGUACCGUGAGGGAAAGAUGAAAAGAACUUUGAAAAGAGAGUUAAACAGUACGUGAAAUUGUCAAAAGGGAAGCGUUUGACACCAGUGUUGUUUUUCCGAAAAUCAAUUACGAAUGGCUUGAUUCUGUGUUGUAUUGACCUUAUCAGCUUUCUUCACUUUUUUCGAGUCUUUCUUAAUGCACUUUUCGGUUAACAAGUCAACAUCAAUUUCUUUUGUUGUAAAAGAGUAUUCGGAAGGUGGCUUUCUUUUCGGAGAAAGUGUUUAUAGCCCUAUACUUCUACAAUCGGAGAGAUUGAGGUCUGCAGCGUAGAUCCUUCGGGGUUAGAUACAUUUGUGCUAAGUUAUAGCCUUUCAUAGACAACUUGUUGACUAUGAUCAGUCAUGUAGCUUACUCGCUUAUGCUAUUUUACCUACGCUUAGGAUGUUGAUCUGUAGUGCGUGCGC